ACGGGAGGCAGCAGUGGGGAAUUUUGCGCAAUGGGGGCAACCCUGACGCAGCAACGCCGCGUGCGGGAUGACGGCCUUCGGGUUGUAAACCGCUUUCAGCAGGGACGAAUACCGACGGUACCUGCAGAAGAAGCUCCGGCUAACUACGUGCCAGCAGCCGCGGUAAUACGUAGGGAGCGAGCGUUAUCCGGAUUCAUUGGGCGUAAAGCGCGCGUAGGCGGAUGCCUAAGCGGAACCUCUAAUCCGAGGGCUCAACCCCCGGCCGGGUUCCGAACUGGGCGUCUCGAGUGCGGUAGGGGCAGGUGGAAUUCCAUGUGUAGCGGUGGAAUGCGCAGAUAUAUGGAAGAACACCGAUGGCGAAGGCAGCCUGCUGGGCCGUCACUGACGCUGAGGUGCGAAAGCGUGGGGAGCGAACAGGAUUAGAUACCCUGGUA
rnacentral:rRNA from 3 species